rnacentral:rRNA from 1 species
GAAAGCUAGGGGAGCAUAUAGGAUUAGAGACCCCAGUAGUCCUAGCUGUAAACGAUGGAUACUAGCUUCUGUGCGACUCGACCCGUGCAAUGCUGUAGCUAACGCGUCAAGUAUCCCGCC